UCAGACGAUGCGUCAUGCAUAUCAAUAAGCGGAGGAAAAGAAACUAACAAGGAUUCCCCUAGUAACGGCGAGUGAAGCGGGAAGAGCUCAAAUUUGAAAUCUUAAAGGGUUUCCCUUUACGAAUUGUAGUUUAAAGAAGUGUUUUCUGUUGAGGUUUUGGUAAAAGUUCUUUGGAAUAGGACAUCAUAGAGGGUGAGAAUCCCGUAUUUGACCUUUACUUUCAACUUUGUGAUACACUUUCAAAGAGUCGGAUUGUUUGGGAAUGCAGUCCAAAAUGGGUGGUAAAUUUCAUCUAAAGCUAAAUAUUGGCGAGAGACCGAUAGCGAACAAGUACCGUGAGGGAAAGAUGAAAAGAACUUUGAAAAGAGAGUUAAACAGUACGUGAAAUUGUCAAAAGGGAAGCGUUUGACACUAGUGUUGUUUUUCUGAAAAUCAAUUAAAGAACUGUUUAUGCUAAGCUGUUUAGACUUUAUCAGCUAUCUGUUUAGUUUUGAGCUUUUCUUUAAUGCAGCUUUUCAGUUAACAAGUCAACAUCAAUUUCUUUUGCUGUAAAAAAGCUUGAGGAAGGUGGCUUGAGAUUCGUCUUAAGUGUUUAUAGCCUCUUGCCUAUGCAGUCGGAGAGAUUGAGGUCUGCAGCGUAGAUCCUUCGGGGCUAAAUGCAUUUGUGCUAAGUUAUAGCAUUUUAUAGACAACUUGUUGACUAUGAUUUGUCUUGUAGCUUACUCGCUUAUGUUAUUUUACCUACGCUUAGGAUGUUGACACACGCGCGUGCUCG
rnacentral:rRNA from 1 species